CCUACCUACGGGGGGCAGCAGUGAGGAAUAUUGGUCAAUGGUCGGGAGACUGAACCAGCCAAGCCGCGUGAGGGAUGAAGGUACAGAGUAUCGUAAACCUCUUUUGUCAGGGAACAAAGGCGGGGACGUGUCCCCGGAUGAGUGUACCUGAAGAAAAAGCAUCGGCUAACUACGUGCCAGCAGCCGCGGUAAUACGUAGGGAGCAAGCGUUAUCCGGAUUUAUUGGGGGUAAAGGGUGCGUAGACGGGAAGGCA
rnacentral:rRNA from 1 species